rnacentral:rRNA from 1 species
AGGUGGGGACGACGUCAAAUCAUCAUGCCCCUUAUGACCUGGGCUACACACGUGCUACAAUGGAUGGUACAACGAGUCGCGAAACCGCGAGGUUUAGCUAAUCUCUUAAAACCAUUCUCAGUUCGGACUGUAGGCUGCAACUCGCCUACACGAAGUCGGAAUCGCUAGUAAUCGCGGAUCAGCAUGCCGCGGUGAAUACGUUCCCGGGCCUUGUACACACCGCCCGUCACACCAUGAGAGUUUGUAACACCCAAAGCCGGUGGGGUAACCUUUUAGGAGCUAGCCGUCUAAGGUGGGACAGAUGAUUAGGGUGAAGUCGUAACAAGGUAGCCGUAGGAGAACCUGCGGCUGGAUCACCUCCUUU